UAAUACCUGCUAGCUGUGACGUUACUGAAGAAGAGCACCGGCUACUCCGUGCCGCACCGCGGUUUA
rnacentral:rRNA from 1 species